rnacentral:rRNA from 1 species
GACAGAGGGUGCAAACGUUGUUCGGAAUUACUGGGCGUAAAGCGUGCGCAGGCGGCUUCGCAAGUCAGGCGUGAAAUCCCCGGGCUUAACCUGGGAAUGGCGUCUGAAACUACGGAGCUGGAGUGUGGCAGAGGGAGGUAGAAUUCCACGUGUAGCGGUGAAAUGCGUAGAUAUGUGGAGGAAUACCGAUGGCGAAGGCAGCCUCCUGGGCCAACACUGACGCUCAUGCACGAAAGCGUGGGGAGCAAACAGG